GUGCCAGCAGCCGCGGUAAAACGUAGGAGGCGAGCGUUAUCCGGAUUUACUGGGCGUAAAGCGCGUGCAGGCGGAUCGGUAAGUUGGAUGUGAAAGCUCCCGGCUUAACUGGGAGAGGUCGUUCAAAACUACCGGUCUUGAGUACAGUAGAGGGAAGUGGAAUUCCGGGUGUAGUGGUGAAAUGCGUGAAUAUCCGGAGGAACACCAUUGGCGAAGGAGGUUUUCU
rnacentral:rRNA from 1 species